rnacentral:rRNA from 1 species
UGGGGAAUAUUGCACAAUGGGCGCAAGCCUGAUGCAGCCAUGCCGCGUGUGUGAAGAAGGCCUUCGGGUUGUAAAGCACUUUCAGCGAGGAGGAAGGUGGUGAGCUUAAUACGCUCAUCAAUUGACGUUACUCGCAGAAGAAGCACCGGCUAACUCCGUGCCAGCAGCCGCGGUAAUACGGAGGGUGCAAGCGUUAAUCGGAAUUACUGGGCGUAAAGCGCACGCAGGCGGUUUGUUAAGUCAGAUGUGAAAUCCCCGGGCUCAACCUGGGAACUGCAUUUGAAACUGGCAAGCUAGAGUCUCGUAGAGGGGGGUAGAAUUCCAGGUGUAGCGGUGAAAUGCGUAGAGAUCUGGAGGAAUACCGGUGGCGAAGGCGGCCCCCUGGACGAAGACUGACGCUCAGGUGCGAAAGCGUGGGGCAGCAAACAGGAUUAGAUACCCUGGUAGUCCACGCUGUAAACGAUGUCGAUUUUGGAGGUUGUGCCCCUUGAGGCGUGGNUUCCGGAGCUAACGCGUUAAAUCGACCGCCUGGGGAGUACGGCCNCAAGGUUAAAACUCAAAGG